rnacentral:rRNA from 1 species
GUGAGGAAUUUUCCGCAAUGGGCGAAAGCCUGACGGAGCAAUGCCGCGUGAAGGAUGAAGGCCUAUGGGUUGUAAACUUCUUUUCUCAGAAAAGAAUUAUGACGGUAUCUGAGGAAUAAGCAUCGGCUAACUCUGUGCCAGCAGCCGCGGUAAGACAGAGGAUGCAAGCGUUAUCCGGAAUGAUUGGGCGUAAAGCGUCUGUAGGUUGUUUAAAAAGUAUUCUGUCAAAGAUUAGGGCUUAACCCUAGAUAGGCAGAAUAAACUUUUAAGCUAGAGUUUGGUAGAGGCAGAGGGAAUUCCCGGUGGAGCGGUGAAAUGCGUAGAUAUCGGGAGGAGCACCAAAGGCGAAGGCACUCUGCUGGGCCAAUACUAACACUGAGAGACGAAAGCGAGGGGAGCAAAUGGGAUUAGAAACCCGAGUAGUCC